rnacentral:lncRNA from 1 species
UGGGCGUCAGUGUAAAUGAGAGGAGAAACGAGGAGCUCUUCAGGCCCUUGGGGAGAAUUAUUUUUUAAAUGUUCAUGCACUGGACAUUUUUUUUUUUUCUUGUAAAGCAAUUGAAAUCAAAAGGCGGAGUCUUCUUGAGAGACUGGAAUUACAUUGCCUGAAUUAACUGUGUCUCAUCUCUUGCUCUUCUGGCUUGCGUUUCAACAGAGUGAACCGGAGCCACGUGGAAGCUAGUUUGAAAGGGUGCACCAAGGUGCCGUCUACACCACAGGCCGCCCCACAAGAGGGAGAAUCGCUGCUCCCUGCAUGCGUUUCUGCUGCCAGGGCUGGGAGGGGAAGUACGACGUGUCCUGACCCACGGAAUGGAGCAUGGAGAAGGGACAUUUUCCAACUCAGUGGCGUCCGACUGUGGAAACAUUUGUGACGCAGGCGGGGCUUCAAGGGUUCCGUGAGACGAAGGCGGCU